rnacentral:rRNA from 1 species
AGAGUUUGAUCCUGGCUCAGAUUGAACGCUGGCGGCAUGCUUUACACAUGCAAGUCGAACGGUAACAGGUCUUCGGAUGCUGACGAGUGGCGAACGGGUGAGUAAUACAUCGGAACGUGCCUAGUAGUGGGGGAUAACUACUCGAAAGAGUAGCUAAUACCGCAUGAGAUCUACGGAUGAAAGCAGGGGAUCGCAAGACCUUGUGCUACUAGAGCGGCUGAUGGCAGAUUAGGUAGUUGGUGGGGUAAAGGCUCACCAAGCCAACGAUCUGUAGCUGGUCUGAGAGGACGACCAGCCACACUGGAACUGAGACACGGUCCAGACUCCUACGGGAGGCAGCAGUGGGGAAUUUUGGACAAUGGGCGAAAGCCUGAUCCAGCAAUGCCGCGUGCAGGAUGAAGGCCCUCGGGUUGUAAACUGCUUUUGUACGGAACGAAAAGCUCUGGGCUAAUAUCCCGGAGUCAUGACGGUACCGUAAGAAUAAGCACCGGCUAACUACGUGCCAGCAGCCGCGGUAAUACGUAGGGUGCAAGCGUUAAUCGGAAUUACUGGGCGUAAAGCGUGCGCAGGCGGUUAUGUAAGACAGAGGUGAAAUCCCCGGGCUCAACCUGGGAACUGCCUUUGUGACUGCAUGGCUAGAGUACGGUAGAGGGGGAUGGAAUUCCGCGUGUAGCAGUGAAAUGCGUAGAUAUGCGGAGGAACACCGAUGGCGAAGGCAAUCCCCUGGACCUGUACUGACGCUCAUGCACGAAAGCGUGGGGAGCAAACAGGAUUAGAUACCCUGGUAGUCCACGCCCUAAACGAUGUCAACUGGUUGUUGGGUCUUAACUGACUCAGUAACGAAGCUAACGCGUGAAGUUGACCGCYUGGGGAGUACGGCCGCAAGGUUGAAACUCAAAUGAAUGA